rnacentral:rRNA from 1 species
GACAUGUACGGAACCUUUAAGAGAUUAGAGGGUGCUCGAAAGAGAGCCGUAACACAGGUGCUGCAUGGCUGUCGUCAGCUCGUGUCGUGAGAUGUUGGGUUAAGUCCCGCAACGAGCGCAACCCUUGCCAUUAGUUGCUACGAAAGGGCACUCUAAUGAGACUGCCGGUGACAAACCGGAGGAAGGUGGGGAUGACGUCAAGUCCUCAUGGCCCUUAUGGGUAGGGCUUCACACGUCAUACAAUGGUACAUACAGAGGGCUGCCAACCCGCGAGGGGGAGCUAAUCCCAGAAAGUGUAUCGUAGUCCGGAUCGAAGUCUGCAACUCGACUUCAUGAAGUUGGAAUCGCUAGUAAUCGCGGAUCAGCAUGUCGCGGUGAAUACGUUCCCGGGCCUU